UACGGAGGGAGCUAGCGUUGUUCGGAAUUACUGGGCGUAAAGCGCACUAGGCGGCUUUGUAAGUUAGAGGUGAAAGCCCCGGAGCUCAACUCCGGAAUUGCCUUUUAAGACUGCAUCGCUUGAAUCCGGGAGAGGUGAGUGGAAUUCCGAGUGUAGAGGUGAAAUUCGUAGAUAUUCGGAAGAACACCAGUGGCGAAGGCGGCUCACUGGACCGGUAUUGACGCUGAGGUGCGAAAGCGUGGGGAGCAAACAGG
rnacentral:rRNA from 1 species